CAUUGAAACACCAGUUCCCGUACGAUCGCCGAAGUUAAGCAUCAUCGAGCCUGGUCAGUACCUAGAUAGGUGACCGCUUGAAAAUGGG